rnacentral:rRNA from 1 species
AUUGAACGCUGGCGGCAUGCUUUACACAUGCAAGUCGAACGGUAACAGGCCUUCGGGUGCUGACGAGUGGCGAACGGGUGAGUAAUGCAUCGGAACGUACCCAGAGGUGGGGGAUAACGCAGCGAAAGCUGUGCUAAUACCGCAUGUGAUCUGAGGAUGAAAGCGGGGGACCGAGCAGCAAUGUUUGGCCUCGCGCCUUUGGAGCGGCCGAUGUCGGAUUAGCUAGUUGGUGGGGUAAAGGCCUACCAAGGCGACGAUCCGUAGCUGGUCUGAGAGGACGACCAGCCACACUGGGACGGAGACACGGCCCAGACUACUACGGGAGGCAGCAGUGGGGAAUGGUGGACAAUGGGCGCAAGCCUGAUCCAGCAAUGCCGCGUGCGGGAAGAAGGCCUUCGGGUUGUAAACCGCUUUUGGCAGUAACGAAACGGUGUCCGCUAAUACCGGGCGCUAAUGACGGUACCUGCAGAAUAAGCACCGGCUAACUACGUG